GCCCACUUACAUACACAGUCUAGUGGUACAAGGCCAGUAAGAAAUGUUACAAAUGUUUUAGUAAAGAAGAAGUACAGUAUGUACCUUUUCUGAGUACACAGCAGUCAGUAAGACAAGACAAUUGCAUUGUAGCGGAAUGUCGUUCAGAUCAUAUUCACACAAAUAUUAACCACAUUGGUUUUAACAUCUGCAUCUCGUGAGAUAGACUGUUAGGUAGGUCACAGCAAAAAGCAGCCGUUUAUUUCAGGAUUCAAGAUGUGCGAGUGUGGCAAAGUCUUGCAAACUAGUGAAAGACAUACAUCUUAAAAAUCAAUUUACAGAAUGAAUAAAAUUAGAUCUUAACCUAGAAUCAUUAACAUUCUUUAGGUUUUUACUCAAAGCUGAAUCCCUUUU